UAUUGAAAACUAUAAAAAGUAUUUAAUAACAAAAUAAAAUUAUAUAGAUUGAUAAAAAUAUAUUCUUUUCAAAUAAUUAUAUAAUUAAUAAAGAUAAUAUUCAAGGAUGUCAUAUUUUUUAAAUAAAAAAUAUCCUCAUAUAUCUGUACCGGUUGUGUGCUAAUAUAGUACAUGAAUAUUAGUUAAAUAUUCAAAUUUUUAUUCCCCAU
rnacentral:lncRNA from 1 species